GGGGGUAUAGCUCAGGGGUAGAGCAUUUGACUGCAGAUCAAAAGGUCCCUGGUUCAAAUCCAGGUGCCCCUU
rnacentral:tRNA from 2 species